AACGCGAAGAACCUUACCCAGACUUGACAUACAGUGGAAGUUUGUGGAAAUAUAAACGCCCUUCGGGGCCGCUGAACAGGUGCUGCAUGGCUGUCGUCAGCUCGUGCCGUGAGGUGUUGGGUUAAGUCCCGCAACGAGCGCAACCCUUAUCGUUAGUUGCCAACAGGUAAUGCUGGGAACUCUAGCGAGACUGCCUGGGUUAACCAGGAGGAAGGUGAGGAUGACGUCAAGUCCGCAUGGCCCUUAUGUCUGGGGCUACACACGUGCUACAAUGGUCGGUACAGAAGGCAGCGAAACCGUGAGGUGAAGCAAAUCCCAAAAGCCGGCCCCAGUUCAGAUUGUAGUCUGCAACUCGACUACAUGAAGAUGGAAUUGCUAGUAAUGGCGAGUCAGCAACAUCGCCGUGAAUACGUUCCCGGGCCUUGUA
rnacentral:rRNA from 1 species